rnacentral:lncRNA from 1 species
CUGACAGAUCUGGCAUCCUAUGCAUCUCCCACCCUGCCCUCCCAUGAUGCCCAAGAUGCUCUGCGAGGCUGUUGACCAAGUCUGCCCCUGCCAAGGUGGAUACAAGGCCAAAAAAGGCUGUGGGAAAGGAUAAAGCAUCAGACAAAAAAGUGCAGAUAAAAGGGAAGAGGGGAGAGGAGGGCAAACAGACUGAAGUGGCUGACCAGCAAACCACAGAUCUGCCUGUAGACAAAGGAGAGACAGAAAACCAGAGUCCAGACUCUGAAGAAGAGAAAGAAGCCAAGGCUGA